rnacentral:rRNA from 1 species
AGCGAACGCUGGCGGCAGGCCUAACACAUGCAAGUCGAACGAACCUUUCGGGGUUAGUGGCGGACGGGUGAGUAACACGUGGGAACGUGCCUUUAGGUUCGGAAUAACUCAGGGAAACUUGUGCUAAUACCGAAUGUGCCCUUCGGGGGAAAGAUUUAUCGCCUUUAGAGCGGCCCGCGUCUGAUUAGCUAGUUGGUUGAGGUAAUGGCUCACCAAGGCGACGAUCAGUAGCUGGGCUGAGAGGAUGAUCAGCCACAUUGGGACUGAGACACGGCCCAAACUCCUACGGGAGGCAGCAGGGGGGAAUCUUGCGCAAUGGGCGAAAGCCUGACGCAGCCAUGCCGCGUGAAUGAUGAAGGUCUUAGGAUUGUAAAAUUCUUUCACCGGGGACGAUAAUGACGGUACCCGGAGAAGAAGCCCCGGCUAACUUCGUG